rnacentral:rRNA from 1 species
CCUACGGGAGGCAGCAGUGGGGAAUAUUGGACAAUGGGGGGAACCCUGAUCCAGCGACGCCGCGUGAGUGAAGAAGUAUUUCGGUAUGUAAAGCUCUAUCAGCAGGGAAGAAAAUGACGGUACCUGACUAAGAAGCCCCGGCUAACCACGUCCUAGCAGCCGCGGUCAUACGGAGGGGGCAAGCGUUAUCCGGAUUUACUGGGUGGAAAGGGAGCGUAGACGGUGCAGCAAGUCUGAUGUGAAAGGUUGGGGCCGAACCCCGGGACUGCAUUGGAAACUGUUGAACGGGAGUACAGGAGGGGUAAGGGGAAUUCCUAGUGUAGCGGUGUAAUGCGUAGAUAUUAGGAGGAACACCAGUGGCGAAGGCGGGUUACUGGACUGUAACUGACGUUGAGGCUCGAAAGCGUGGGGAGCAAACAGGAUUAGAUACCCCGGUAGUC